GCACACAUUUGAAAUCAGUAGGCGAGGCUGUAAUUUUGCCAGCUGUUACUCUCAUGAGCGAGGCAGAAAAUAAUAGUUUUAACAUGCCAAAAAGCUGCUGUGUCGUUUAUUGCUGUAACGACUGAAUGAACACAAGUGGAGGACUCAAUAGCAUGACUCAGAGACAGAGGAUUAGGAUGUAAAAAAGGUCUUUAUAUCCAAGGUUCGGUACACGGGAGAUCAGUCAAUAAGGCUAACAAAACAGACGAGGAGUAGACAGGAACCGGGUCAGGACACGAAGCUGGGUGGAGCUUGUUGUCCUUCUUUGACCUUUGAGAGAUGACUGCCCCAACGCCCACAUCUGAAGCGUCCACCUCGACUACAAACUGCUGAAGUGGGUCAGGAAGUGUGAGAAUAGGGGCUGAAGUGAAGCUCCUCUUAAGCCUCCGGAAAGCCUGUUCUGCUAGGGGGGACCACUGGAACUUCACCUUGAGGGAGGUUAAAGCAUGCAGUGGGGCAGCCACAGAACUAUAGUUUCUGAUGAAACGUCUGUAGAAAUUGGCAAAGCCCAAAAAUCGUUGCAUGAGUUUCUGAUUGGAAGGUGUAGGCCACUCAGUGACUGCACUGACCUUUGAUGGGUCCAUCUGAAUGCUGUUCUCCGAAAUGACAAAUCCUAGGAAAGAAACGGUGGAGACGUGGAACUCGCACUUCUCUGCCUUCACAAAGAGUAGAUUAACCAAGAGACGCUGCAACACCUGGCGGACAUGUUGAAUGUGGGUCGUCUCAUCCGGAGAAAAGAUGAGAAUGUCGUCGAGGUAGACAAAAACAAACUGGUUGAGCAUGUCACGGAGAACAUCAUUACAGCAUUGGUUAACCCAAAUGGCAUUACGAGGUAUUCGUAAUGGCCACAAGGGGUGUUGAAAGCAGUCUUCCAUUCAUCCCCCUCCCUUAUCCUUACCAAAUGAUAAGCAUUUCGAAGAUCAAGUUUAUUAAAAAUCUUUGCAUCCUGUAAUAGUUCAAAUGCUGAAGAGAUAAGAGGAAGGGGGUACCUGUUAUUUAUGGUAAUGUCAUUUAGCCCUCUGUAGUCGACACAUGGACGAAGAGUCUUAUCCUUCUUGUCGACGAAGAAGAAGCCUGCUCCAGCCGGAGAGGAGGAAGGCCGAAUUAUCCCGGCAGCAAGGGAGGAGUCAAUGUAUCUCUUCAUUGUUUCCCUUUCGGGGCCAGACAGGGAGUAGAGAUGUCCCUUAGAGGGAGAGCUCCCAGGGAACAAGUCAAUGGAGCAGUCAUAGGGUCAAUGGGGAGGCAGGGUGGAAGCACGAGUCUUAUUGAAAACCUCCUUCAGGUCCCGGUAACAGGUGGGCACCCUGCUAAGAUCCGGAAAAUCAGAGUCUGCUGCAGCUUGGAGAGGGGUAGAGACAGCAGUAGUCAGGGCAACAGUCACAUGGGUGGAGGGCAGAGGUCUCUCUGGAGCAGGGGCGGAAGGGAAACAUGUGGCCAAACAAUCCUUAUGCCAACCCAAAACUCUCCCGGUGGACCAGUCCAUGUGGGGAUUGUGUUUUACCAGCCAUGGGUAGCCCAAAAUAAGAGGGUGUGAAGGAGAGUUAAAAAGAUGAAAACUCAGGGAUUCAGUGUGGCCGUUAGCGAUGAUUAGUUGAAGGGGCCGAGUACGGUGAGGGACUCGGCACAAUAAACGUCCAUCCAGAGCCUUUGCUACAAGAGGCCUCAACAGGGGAACAAAAUUAAGUCCAAGUCUCUUGGCUAAUCUCCAAUCAAUGAAACUCUUAUCUGCUCCUGAGUCAAUUCGAGCAGCAUGCGACAAAGUCUGAGUAGGAGUAAUUAGCUGAGCAGAGGUGAGAGUACGAGAGGGACAAAAAGAAACAGUUCGGCUCACCAGGACCCUCCUACUUACUGAUGAGCCUGGUCUUUUACUGGGCAUCUGGCUACAAAGUGACCCCUCUGUGAGCAGUAAAUGCACCUCCCCUCCCGUAGGCGGCGCUGGCACUCCUCAGGAGUCAGCUUUGCCCUUCCCAACUGCAUGGGUUCCUCCUGGGCAGUAGGCGGCGCUGGAGAAUCAGUCGUCUGGAAACGCUGCUUGGGGAAAAAAGGACUGGCCUGAGACUGCCCUCUCUGGCCGGGCGGAGAAAACACAGCUCUCGACUUCUCCCUUUCUCUCUCUACGAGGCGAGUGUCAAUUCUUAUUGCCAUAGCAAUGAAACUAUCCAGGUCAGAGGGAAGCUCUAGAGGAGCCAACUGGUCCUUGAUGGGGCCAGACAGCCCAUGGCGAAAAGCGUCGAAGAGGGAUGAAUCAUUCCAGCCGCUGUCUGCAGACAAAGUGCGGAACUCCACGGCGUAGUCGGAGACACGUCUCCCUCUCUGGUGUAAAUCCAUUAGAGCUCUCGCUGCUUCCCUGCCUGGAGUUGUGUGAUCAAAUACUUUGCUUAAAGUCUCUGUAAAACCUCUCAGGGAAUUACAGACUGGGGAAUCUCGAGCCCACUCCGCCGUAGCCCAUGCCUCCGCUCUGCCGGUGAGGUGGGAAACGAUGUAGGCUACCUUAGCCCGUUCAGACUGGAAGGAAGAUGCUUGCAGCUCGAAGUGCAACCCACACUGGACCAGGAACGCACAACAGUUAUCCGAGUCUCCGGAAAAACACUCUGGUCUGGAGAGGUGAGGAACCGAAGGCAGCGGUGUCGGCACGGUGGCAGGAACAGGACCGGGAGCUGUAGCCGGAUCUGACGCUUGAAGCGGAGUAGCAGAGCGUUGUGGAUUGAGAUGUGCCACCAGCUGCUGGAUCUGAUCUGCCAGCUGGCAAACCUGGCUGCCGAUGGAUGACUGGAAACCCUCGUGCCGCUCUGACAAUUCUCUUACUCCCUGGCAGACAGCGGUAAGUUGUUCAUCUUGCAGGUUAAGACGAGCCCCCUGGGAUCGAAUAGCGGACCGCAAAAUCUCCGAGUCGGCUGAGUCCAUGGUUCUGGCCAGUUCGUACUGUAACGACUGAAUGAACACAAGUGGAGGACUCAAUAGCACGACUCAGAGACAGAGGAUUAGGAUGCAAAAAAGGUCUUUAUAUCCAAGGUUCGGUACACGGGAGAUCAGUCAAUAAGGCUAACAAAACAGACGAGGAGUAGACAGGAACCGGGUCAGGACACGAAGCUGGGUCAGGUACACGUGGAAUCAGAUACUACGAAAAACACUGCUGGAACUCUAGGAAUAACUAAGACGAACUGGCACUGAAGGGACUGUGGAUGCAGACUAAGGCCCAAUCCCAAACCACUCCCUCGACCCUCCCCCUCCGUGACGGAGUGAACUCCGUCUGUAGGCACACUCACAGCUGAAUGAAGUUCCCUCCAUUAAGGGUUAAGGGUAAAAAUACAGCGGCAAGCUUUGGGACGGCCUCCCCUCUCUCCGCAGGAAACGGAAACGGACGUCAUGGUGUCCAACUCACAUCUCCAUCUGUCGGCUGCAUUGACCUGCGUUGCUAUCCGUCGCCUGUUAGCGGGUGCAAUGGCAAGAUCCAACAGAAGGCGCAGAAGGUUGAAGCGCAUUUUAGCGAUGUGCCAGUGGCAGCGCUGGAGGUCAGUCCAAGCUUUGCCCCUGACAUCAUUGCAUGUUGUGCAUUUCUGUGCAUAGACAUGAACGAUGUCCUUGAGGAUGCUGAAGCCUUCCCCCCUGAAGAUGGGGACCAGAUUCCGCAGCAUGUGGACAGGAAAGUCCUGGACACCACCUAAGGAACAGGAUUGCUGCACAACUCUCUGCUCCUGUCCAAAUGGCACCACACCAGAGAGAAUGAACUUUGUUUUUUUUUGGAAAAACGUGGUUGUCUGUUAACUUGUGUUUUUGAAAUGAUGUGCACACAUACCUGAUUAAUUUUGUUUGUUUUAGUGAGCUCCACUUCUCACUUUAGAGAAAAGAGGUGAAAUAAAAUAAACCUGUGCACCGUUGAUUUCAAA